AUUUUCUCCACCGAAACGGCUCCCACGGGAGGAAGAAAAAGUCUGGGGAGCGCGAACGGGAAUUGGAUACCCCGGAUAGUACCAACCGUAAACUUUCCGGCCUAAGGGUGGCCCUGAACUAUCGAGUUACCCGGGGUGCCGAAGUGGAAAACGUGAAAACUUGCCCCUUGGAAGUUACGGUUCCCAAGGCUGAAACUUAAAAGGAAUUGGCGGGGGAAGCACCACCAACGGGUGGAGCCUGCGGUUUUAAUUGGAAUCAACGCCGGGCCAGCUCCCCGGAUAGGACAGCGGAAUUGAUAGCCGGGCUGAAGACCUUGCUUGCCCAGCUGAGACUGAGGUGCAUGGCCGUGUCAGAUCGUACUCCGAAGCAUCCCUGUUUAGUCAGGCAAGGAGCGAGACCCACGCCAACAGGGGGGGCGGAGGUCCCCCCCGAAUGAUGAAAAAAAAAGGUGGGACCGCCUCUGCUAAAGAGGAAGGGGCGUUGGGGGGAAAGGUAGGUCAGCAUGCCCCGAAUUAUCCGGGCUACACGCGGGCUACAAUGGUCAGGACAAUAAGGGGCAGCACUGAAAAGUGUAGUCAAUCUCCUAAACCUGUCCCAAGUUCGGAUUGUGGGCUGCAACUCGCCCACAUGAAGCUGGAAUCCGUAGUAAUUUCGUUCCCAAAUAGCACCCCUUAGUCCCUGCUCCUUGCACACACCGUA
rnacentral:rRNA from 1 species